UCUCGUGUCGGGUUCCUGCAAAGUCCUGGACGAUCGUUAUUGCAAUUAGGUGGACUGUGCACUUGCGUACAGAGUGCGCCGAAUCGUUCGAAUCACGCCGUUGGAAGCGUUCCUAGUGGACGGUCUUCGGGCUCGAGAAUCCUGUGCGCUCGGAUAGCGGGUGGUGUUGGCUCGUCGAGAGAGAGGUUGGUGAAUUCGUGGCAGGUGGCUGGAAAUCGGGUGGCUUGAGCGCGAUGCAUGCAUUUCGUUCUUAUGAUUCGAGCGUUGAGCGGGUGUCUGCUCAAUCUCGCAUUCGGUGUCUAGUCGGUCACCCAUCUGACCCGUCUUGAAACACGGACCAAGGAGUUUAAGGUGUGCGCAAGUCAUUGAGCAGAGUCGAAACUCAAAGGCGUAAUGAAAGUGAGACACCCAGUGGCUGUGAUGCGAUUUGGGGGCGAUUCGUCUCCCCGAAAGCAGCAUCGACCCAUGACUGGAACUUGUUCUGUUGUGGAGUCCGAGCGUACGCUUUGAGACCCGAAAGAUGGUGAACUAUGCCCGAACA
rnacentral:rRNA from 1 species